rnacentral:misc_RNA from 1 species
ACGUCAUCCCCACCUUCCUCCGAGUUGACCCCGGCAGUCUCCCAUGAGUCCCCGCCAUAACGCGCUGGCAACAUGGAACGAGGGUUGCGCUCGUUGCGGGACUUAACCCAACAUCUCACGACACGAGCUGACGACAACCAUGCACCACCUGUGAACGGCGCAAAAGCACCCCACAUCUCUGCAGGUAGACCGAACAUGUCAAGCCCAGGUAAGGUUCUUCGCGUUGCAUCGAAUUAAGCCACAUGCUCCGCCGCUUGUGCGGGCCCCCGUCAAUUCCUUUGAGUUUUAGCCUUGCGGCCGUACUCCCCAGGCGGGGAACUUAAUGCGUUAGCUGCGGCACAGAGCCCGUGGAAUGGACCCCACACCUAGUUCCCAACGUUUACGGCGUGGACUACCAGGG